CACUGAGCUAAAUCCCCCCUGAACGCGCCCGAUCUCGUCUGAUCUCGGAAGCUAAGCAGGGUCGGGCCUGGUUAGUACUUGGAUGGAAGGCCAUACUUCUUAAUGC
rnacentral:rRNA from 1 species